rnacentral:rRNA from 1 species
CGUACACUCCUACGGGAGGCAGCAGUAGGGAAUCUUCGGCAAUGGGGGCAACCCUGACCGAGCAACGCCGCGUGAGUGAAGAAGGUUUUCGGAUCGUAAAGCUCUGUUGUAAGUCAAGAACGAGUGUGAGAGUGGAAAGUUCACACUGUGACGGUAGCUUACCAGAAAGGGACGGCUAACUACGUGCCAGCAGCCGCGGUAAUACGUAGGUCCCGAGCGUUGUCCGGAUUUAUUGGGCGUAAAGCGAGCGCAGGCGGUUUGAUAAGUCUGAAGUUAAAGGCUGUGGCUCAACCAUAGUUCGCUUUGGAAACUGUCAAACUUGAGUGCAGAAGGGGAGAGUGGAAUUCCAUGUGUAGCGGUGAAAUGCGUAGAUAUAUGGAGGAACACCGGUGGCGAAAGCGGCUCUCUGGUCUGUAACUGACGCUGAGGCUCGAAAGCGUGGGGAGCGAACAGGAUUAGAAACCCUGGUAGUCC